rnacentral:rRNA from 1 species
UACGUAGGGUGCAAGCGUUUGUCCGGAAUUAUUGGGCGUAAAGAGCUCGUAGGCGGUUUGUCGCGUCUGCUGUGAAAACUCGGGGCUUAACCCCGGGCCUGCAGUGGGUACGGGCAGACUAGAGUGCGGUAGGGGAGACUGGAAUUCCUGGUGUAGCGGUGAAAUGCGCAGAUAUCAGGAGGAACACCGGUGGCGAAGGCGGCUCUCUGGAACGCAACUGACGCUGAGACGCGAAAAGCGUGGGGAGCAAACAGG